UCCUCGUAAUUUCGUUCGUGGCAUUCUCGUGGAUCGGUAUGACCCUGCGCCGCCGCCCCUCGCUUCUAGGGUGCAUGGAGGCUUGAGAUGUCGAGAGGGAACUUCACUUCGUGCGAUUGAAUCCAUUAGAGAUCACGAGACAACGACUGCUUGUGCGCUUUAGCAGCAUCAUACAUCAACAGAUCAAAUUCAACUUGAAGGAAUCGAGUGUGGCUUUUUGUUUAUAUUUUCCAAUGAUUGAAAGAUGAGGAGAGGGAAUACAAGGAAAAUGGAUUCGUUUUUUCAAGCCCAUUGCUUCCAGCUCAAACAUAUGUGAGAGUGCAAAUCCAUCGGAUAUCGAUCUGAGGUGUAAUUCUCACCUCUGACCGAGGUUUUAAUACACCGAGGAUGGAUGAGAUGUCUUCAUGUCAUGCUGCAAGUGGAUAGAUAAAUACCCGACAUUAUCGGAUCGGUCCGACCAGAGGAGAUAUGAUAACAUUAUCGCUGCCUCCGAUGAAAGUGGAUGCUUGAUUAUAUGGAUUUUUAAUGCAACGAAUUCACAUGUGCACCCACAUGUCCGCUCCAAUCGCCACUGCAACCUGACUCGGAAGGGAAGAUUUACGCUCGAAAACUCGGCUGUCACACUCAAAGCCUGAUGUACCGCAAAGUUACCUAUAUGAUCAAUUUGAGCUUCAUGCGUUGCGCCGUA